UCCGGCGACCGGCGCACGGGUGAGUAACACGUAUGCAACCUGCCCUCCUCAGGGGGACAACCUUCCGAAAGGGAGGCUAAUCCCGCGUAUAUCGGUUUCGGGCAUCCGAGAUCGAGGAAAGAUUCAUCGGAAGAGGAUGGGCAUGCGGCGCAUUAGCUAGACGGCGGGGUAACGGCCCACCGUGGCGACGAUGCGUAGGGGUUCUGAGAGGAAGGUCCCCCACACUGGUACUGAGACACGGACCAGACUCCUACGGGAGGCAGCAG
rnacentral:rRNA from 1 species